AUUGAACGCUGGCGGCAUGCUUUACACAUGCAAGUCGAACGGUAACAGGGUGCUUGCACCGCUGACGAGUGGCGAACGGGUGAGUAAUGCGUCGGAACGUGCCGAGUAGUGGGGGAUAACGCAGCGAAAGUUGUGCUAAUACCGCAUACGUACUGAGGUAGAAAGUGGGGGACCUUCGGGCCUCACGCUAUUCGAGCGGCCGACGUCUGAUUAGCUAGUAGGUGAGGUAAAGGCUCACCUAGGCGACGAUCAGUAGCGGGCCUGAGAGGAUGAUCCGCCACACUGGGAAUGAGACACGGCCCAGGCUCCUACGGGAGGCAGCAGUGGGGAAUUUUGGACAAUGGGCGAAAGCCUGAUCCAGCCAUGCCGCGUGUCUGAAGAAGGACUUCGGGUUGUAAAGGACUUUUGUCGGGGAGGAAAUCCCCAGCGUUAAUACCGCUGGGGGAUGACAGUACCUGAAGAAUAAGCACCGGCUAACUACGUGCCAGCAGCCGCAGUAACAC
rnacentral:rRNA from 1 species